rnacentral:lncRNA from 1 species
ACGCAUUGAUAUAUCACAUGGGGAAAAAAUAGCCUAAGAUACUACAAGCUCUAUGGUGGUGUUCAAUUGAACAUCAAACUACGGUUUUCCAGUUCAUCGACAUAGGAGGAAAUUGGACACUGACAGUAGACCAUGCAUAUUUCCCUGUUCAUCAAAAUGAAAGAUACUGAAAAAUGCUAAACUCAGGAAAACAUACACCUAGAAUAGAUCAAAAGGACCAGUAUUUCAUAACAAUGAGAAAAGGAAAGUGAAUAUGAAGAAUAAAUUCAGGGAGUAAUAGGUGCGGAACUAUCCUAAUUUGCAUCAUUCAGGGAGUAAUAGGUGCGGAACUAUCCUAAUUUGCAUUCAAAGUUAUGGUUGAUUUCUAGAGCCAACUAUGAACUUUACCAAGACUUCCAGAAGUUGCUAAAUAACAUUAUCAUAGUUCAUUCAUCACAGAAAAAUCUUAUAUUAACAAAAAAGCAAAGAAAAUAAUGAAGCUGCACCAAAGGAAGGA